CAACAGACGCUGCUGGCCAAAAGUCUCCAAUGAGUGCAUAGGGCUCAUGUGCACCAAGAGUGGAAUCUGUGGACAGCGCAUCUUGAAGAACUACUGUUACUGUUAGACCUAAUGCUAAAGCCCAUCUGAUGUUGAGAGAAUGAAGUCUCCUCUUCUCAUGGAAAGCAAGAUGUUUUGGAAAGAACACCGAUGGAAAUGAGAACAGCUAGCACCAUGUGACCAACCAACUCUCUACAGACCAUCACCUCUGUGAUGAACCUGGUAUAAGGAUCUGAACAGAAGGCUCAACGGACUACCAGUGGUCAACUGUAAUACUAAUAUCAGUGUUAACCCAUAUUUGUAUGGCAUUUUUCAAAAAUUCAUGUUCCUAUAUGCAAAAUUCAUAUUCUAUACUAAUUAUUACAGUAUCUAUUAUAUCUGUAAGAUGCAUACAAAUGUAAAGUAUCUGUUAUAAAGCAACUAAAGUCCAAAAUAUACUUAUUUUAAUUAUCUCAUGAAAAGUUUGGGUUGAAUAUUUUGCCUUUUAUUACCAAGGUAGCAUAACAUAGUUUCCACACUUUUACCAAAAGAGUAGCAGUCUUUGCACUGUACAAAGAUCUUUCUUUGUUAAUUCCU